AUGCCCGGAAUCUUUCCGCCGUUGUCAAGGCGACACAGAUGGACGCCCUCCAGUGCUCCUGAGUGGGGAGGCCAUGGACUUCACCAUGAUUUUCACAAUGGAACUUCUGGAUCUGCAGCUGUGGAAGAGGCCCCCAUCUUUGUCCAUAUUGGUGCCAAGGAAAUCACUGUACCCUGCCAGGCUGCGAGGACAGAUUUUGCAACUGGUGUGAAUCUAACCUAUACCUGGAACCUGGAAAAUGGAGAAACACAUUCCAUCCAUGGUGAUGCUUCCUUGACUCUACGUAAUUUCCAUGCUGAGGACAGUGGACUAUAUGGUUGCCGCAUCUCCUAUGUGAAGGAAGACCAACUUCAUUCCAUGAUUUUCUAUCAUCCAGUGGUAGGCUACCAUAUACGUGCAGGUUUGCAGGUUCUACUGGUUUUUCAAAGCAGCUCAUGUGAUAAGGCAUUAACAGAUGGGGUCCUGAAGACCCUGAAGGAGCACCUGAGUCGCAUUGUGUCCCACUUUCAUUGUGAGCUCCUACUGGGGACUAGGAGCUGCUUCUCCACCGUGGAAAAACCUUUGGAUGAAUUUGAUCUCCAGGUGGAACUAGAAGUAUCUCCCUUUGGGAAAGGCUGGGAUGAAUCUUGCUACUCUAGGACUGAUACGAUGGCUUUAGAGUGUUUUCAUUCAGUUGUUCACAGCAAUCUGCAACAGGCUAAGGAAGCAAUUACCAGAUACAUGAAGGAGAACAAACGCUUUCUUUCAAAAAAACCUGGUGCCUCCUUUGUCAACACUUUUUCCAACUUCCUGGAGAGUGGGGAAUGCCAGGAGGGUUUUGGACAGACACAGGAGCUACAGGCACGCUGUCCUGACUGCUGUAGUGAGUGGAGCAGUUGGAACCUACAGUCAGCGCUAUGGAGCAACUGUGUGCACACUGUGCAAGCACAGCUGGCUUACUUCACAUCCUGGUGCCAGUGUACCUGGAGACUGCAUGAAAACAGAAGCAUCUGCUGUUACUUCCGACAUCAUGAGCAGGAAUACCAUUCUCCAACUACAAAAGUUGGCCAGAGCAAGCAGCAAAAAGAAGUGACAGCUCCUACGGUAGUUUUAGACUCCCACGAACGUGGCCAUCCUUUACCACUUCCUCCUGAAACCAAAGGGCCCGUGUCUUCACCUCCUUCCAAUCCAGAGGAGAAGCCAGGUGAGGCUGUAUCUCCAUCACAUUCCAGCGCAGACGAACAGCAUGUUUUUUUAGACGUUGUGUUCCCACCAUCUUCUCCUGUUUCAGAUGCAGAAAGUACAUGGGUCCCAUAAACGAAUAAUCAGCAACUGGCUCUGUCUCGUGUGUUCUUACAAGUUGCUAACAAUCUAGGAUUCUAAAAUUCUCAGCUCUGGCCCUACAAGACUGUUUCUCCCAAUAUUUUAUAUUCAAGUUUAUUUCCACACUGUUCCAAGGUACCACAUGCUGUCUUACAGGGUUAUUAUGCUUGUGAUUUUGGAAAAACAAACAAACCCCAAACAGUGCUGCAUUUUGUAAAAAGUGAAUCAAAGAAAGUCUGCUCAGGAAUCUUUAUUGAGGAGCACAAACAACACACAAAGAAUUCAAGACAACAGUUACCACACAAAUAUCAUAAGUUGCACCAACAUUAACAGUGGAGAAUCAUGCUGAAUAAAACUGCUAGACACAAUAUACA
ensembl:lncRNA